UUUUAAAUAAGUGUGACAAUCACGGAGAAGACACGGCUACUGUUGUUGCAGGGAUUACGCACACUUUGCUCCCCCUGCCAGUCACCUGUCAUCACAUAAUGCUCUCAUUUUGCUCGCGCUCUCCUCCACAGAGGCCCUACAGUAUGAGCCGGUGGCCUCGGAGGCGCAGAGCGGCUGCGCUUGGCGCUGAAGGCGCCGCUUUAUUGGCUAAGUGCUGGAUACGGCGUUGCACGAGAGAUGAUGCAAAAGGAGAAAUGCCACACAGCGUGGUCAGAGAGUCAACAGUAUCAGGAUUGUAAUCUUCUUCUCUCUUUUUUUGGCUGGAGGGAGAGGAAAAUAGGGCUGUUGUGUCUUUAAGAGAAACUGCUGGUCCCUCAUCGCAGCUGCUGGCGUGUGUGUGCGUGUGUGUGCGCGCGUGUGUGUGUGUGUGACACAGAGGACAGGGGAGAUUCAUUACUUAAGCAGUACAAUGGACAUUUAUCACCCCGUGGUGUUAUUCAAAUUCAGUACCAAGCGAGGACCUUCUCCACUCCUCUCUCCGCCUUGCGUCGCAGACGCAUCGUUUUUUUCUUCCCCCUUUUUUUUGUUGGAGCAAAGAAAGAAAAGGCAGGAGGGCAGAGAGGCUCGCAGUUGGUCCCAGAGCUCCGUGAAGGAUGGAAGGAGGAGGAAGAAGAAGAGGAGGAGGUGGCAGUCCGGUUCCUGCACCGAGGCGGCUGUGGAUCGCUGUGGAUCCGUGAGAACGCGCAGCGCGCCGGGGAGCUGAAAACCAAGGACGCGCCGACGGAAGCUGCGUGUGCGUGUGUGCGUGGGGGGGCUUUUGAUCGCACCUUUUCAGCAGAAGCUUAAAACAGCAGAGGAAAGACGACAGCCUCCAUUCAGCACCCAGAGGGAUUUCUCUCCUUUUCUUUAAGAACCGUGGAGAAACCAUUGUGCGUCUUAACUCAAGUCUUCCUUUUAAAAAAAACGGCGCAGAAGGAUGACCUUUCACCAACAACUGCAGUGGACCUUCAGCCAUCUUAAGGGCCUGCAGGGAUGUGGACAACUUCAAGAGGAGGAAAGAAAGAAUGAAAACAUGGGGGGAAAAAGUCUAAAUGUUGCAUUUUGUUUAAAAGAUAUUAAUUGAUUGUGUUUUUCCUUUAAAAGGGAACAAACAGGGAUUUAUUUGAGGAAACAAGUUGCACUUAAAGUGUUUUUUUUCCUUUAAAGAAGAGAUUUCUCCAAGGAAAAAGAGAAAAAUCAAAGAGACAGUGCUGAGUCGUGACAGGUCAGAAAUAAUGCACAGUAAAGCAACUCCUUAUGAAGAUGGAAGGGAGAGAGGAGAAAAAAGGGGGUUUUUCUGUGUCAUGGAACAGGCAGAGCUGUCAGGGAGGGGGGGACAGCCGGAGCAGGUGCACCCAAGAAUAAAAAAUAAAAAAGGGUCCACGCAAGAUCUAAGGGAAUCUCUCGCGACUGAUUGUCCAAACGCAAUUCUUGAGUAAAAUCCAAUCCGCCCCCAAGAAUUGUGUAUGGACAUCUGUUGCUGCAGAUUCACAUUCAUCGCUGCCGUCGAGAUUCCAGGCCUCCCCCCCUGAAAGAAAGAAAAAAAACCCAAAUAAGGAGUGAACCGGAAGGCCUUUAGUCUGGUUUUGUUGUUUCAUCUCAGGUAAGAUGCCAAAUUGCAUGAAAAAAAUGAUCCAGGAGGAAAGUUCCUUUAUGUUAUUUAUUUAUUUAUUUUUUUGCCUCAUAGGGGAUUUUCUGGGGUGUGCUCGAUUAGAGUUUACACUUUGUCGAAGAUCUAAUCAAGACUGUUUGUUUUAAAAGGUAGAUAUCGACUGCAAGGAUUGAUGUAUUGACUGUAUUUGGAGAAAUAGAAGGAGGCAGGGAGUUCACAGGGAGGCCCGCGCGCCAGUUUAACCCUGCAACCUAUGCAGAAAAUCAACACUCGGAUGGGGUUCAUUUUUAUUUGUUUUUUUUUUUAAGGAACUUCUUCAUUCAUGCUUCAAAAUUUGUUGCAUUUCAAUUAAUUUGCAUGCAAAAAAUGCAAUUGAAACCAACAGAAGCCGAUGAUUGAUGCUGUCUGUGCAUCACGUGGCCUCUUGGUCCAGCUGGUUUCGCCCACUUCUUUGGAUUUUUACUGAAAAUUAAAUUAUUAUGAAUGCUUUUAUUUUUAUAUUUUUAAUAAGUUUUUGCUGCUGUGAUAAAACAUUUGUCAUUUGUAGAAAAAAAAAACAUUUAAUUGUAAUCUCAUUAAUUUAUUUGAAACACACACACACACACCCACACACACACAAACACAAAGCUUGGCCCAAGUGUGUAUUGUAGCAAAACAUUAAAGGCUAACCUCUGCUAAUUCCUGGGGAUUAGUGUGUAAUGUUUGGCUUUACGGGGAUGCAUCUGUGCUCAAAUGUCUCUCCUUCCUUCAAAGAUUAUGGGCUUGUCUGACCAAAAAGUCAUUGAAGACAAUUUAUAAAUGUUUGUGAUUUUUAUUUAUUUUAUAAAUCAUUAGACAUAUUGAUGGAAAGUGUGUUUUCCCUUACAAAAAAUGUUUUUUUUUAAAUAAUAGCUGUUUUUUGUCAUUUGAUCAAAUGUUUUUGUUUUAUUUUACAAUAAAUGUGUGCACUUUAAACUACU